CACCGAAGCUGCGGCAGCGAACGUAUCACCCAAGACAACUUUACGGAGUUGACGAUUGACGGAGCGAAGCGACGUCAAAGCGUUCAUUAAAGUCGAGUUGGCUUAGGGAUACGUUCGUUGGGUAGGGGAGCGUUCUGUAAGCCUGUGAAGGUGUGUCGUGAGGCAUGCUGGAGGUAUCNNNNNNGAGAAGGCUAUGUUGGCCGGGCGACGGUUGUCCCGGUUUAAGCGUGUAGGUGUGUGUUCCAGGUAAAUCCGGUUCACUUUAACACUGAGGCGUGACGACGAGGCACUACGGUGCUGAAGCAACAAAUGCCCUGCUUCCAGGAAAAGCCUCUAAGCAUCAGGUAACAUCAAAUCGUACCCCAAACCGACACAGGUGGUCAGGUAGAGAAUACCAAGGCGCUUGAGAGAACUCGGGUGAAGGAACUAGGCAAAAUGGUGCCGUAACUUCGGGAGAAGGCACGCUGACACGUAGGUGAAGUGAUUUACUCAUGGAGCUGAAGUCAGUCGAAG
rnacentral:rRNA from 1 species